CACUGAAGAUAAGAAGGAAGAAGAAAAGAAAGAAGAGGAGAAGAAAGCUGAAGAGCCUCAGGAGAUCGUUCUCAAAGUUGAUAUGUAUUGUGAGGCUUGUGCUUGGAAGGUCGGCAGAGCCCUAAAAGGAUUUCAAGGUCUAGCCCCAUUUCACACUUCAAUUCCCCUUCUCUGUAUUAAUUUUUUUUUUUUCAA